UUAAUUGAAGAGUUUGAUCAUGGCUCAGAUUGAACGCUGGCGGCAGGCCUAACACAUGCAAGUCGAGCGGCAGCACAGAGGAACUUGUUCCUUGGGUGGCGAGCGGCGGACGGGUGAGUAAUGCCUGGGAAAUUGCCCGGUAGAGGGGGAUAACCAUUGGAAACGAUGGCUAAUACCGCAUAACCUCGUAAGAGCAAAGCAGGGGACCUUCGGGCCUUGCGCUACCGGAUAUG
rnacentral:rRNA from 1 species